rnacentral:rRNA from 1 species
UUCAUCAAGAAACGAAAGUUGUGGGCGCGAAGAUGAUCAGAUACCGUCGUAGUCGCAACUAUAAACUUUGUCGCCCAAGGGGUAGUGGUAGUUACAUGAUGACACCCCUAUAACUUUGUGAGAAAUCACAAGGAUUUGGACUCUGGGGGAAGUAUGGUCGCAAGGCUGAAACUUAAAGGAAUUGACGGAAGGGCACCACCAGGAGUGGAACCUGCGGCUUAAUUUGACUCAACACGGGGAAACUUACCAGGUCCAGACACAGUGAGGAUUGACAGAUUGAUAGCUCUUUCUUGAUUCUGUGGAAAGUGGUGCAUGGCCGUUUUUAGUUGGUGGAUUGAUUUGUCUGGUUAAUUCCGUUAACGAACGAGACCUAAACCUACUAACUAGUUAAUGGUAACUUGGACUCUAAAAAGAGACCUCAUAUUUAUCCAAACUUCUUAGAGGGACUCUUUAUACUUAGUGAAUGGAAGUUUUAGGCAACAACAGGUCUGUGAUG